rnacentral:tRNA from 1 species
GGGGCCGUAGCUCAGUUGGGAGAGCGUCUGCUUUGCAAGCAGAAUGUCGUCGGUUCGAUUCCGUCCGGCUCCA